rnacentral:rRNA from 1 species
UAUGAAGGGGGCUAGCGUUGCUCGGAAUCACUGGGCGUAAAGCGCACGUAGGCGGCUUUCUAAGUCAGGGGUGAAAUCCUGGAGCUCAACUCCAGAACUGCCUUUGAUACUGAAGAUCUUGAGUUCGGGAGAGGUGAGUGGAACUGCGAGUGUAGAGGUGAAAUUCGUAGAUAUUCGCAAGAACACCAGUGGCGAAGGCGGCUCACUGGCCCGAUACUGACGCUGAGGCACGAAAGCGUGGGGAGCAAACAGG